UGUUCUGUAGCUUAGUUGGUUAAGGCGCCUGACUAGCAAUAACGGAGUCGGGGGUUCGAAUCCCACCAAAACAA
rnacentral:tRNA from 1 species